AGCGAGGCUAGAGUCACGCCUGGACACCUACCUGUUGUCCUGGUGUGCUAGAGCUCUCGCAUAGCAAAAUGCCUCUGCUUAUUCAUUGGCUGUAGUCUGUUGUGACCCAGUCAACCACCAACUCAGGCACACUA
rnacentral:snoRNA from 1 species